AUGUUUGAAAAGUUUGGUGAGACGCUAUAUGAGGGUGGGUCAUAUAUUCUAAUUGAAUUUGUGCCUCGUCGCGAAUACAUAGCCAGGCAUGUAAAGAAGGAUUCCUAGGACAAGUGGUGUAAAAAUGAAUUCCUUGUUCAGGUGAAUAAGCUUGCUGAUGAAUUCAAGUGUGAGCGUGGAAUGUUUGAGCAUUUCGGCAUGGUGUGCAACCAUGCACUAAAGGUAUCACAUUCUUGUUGUUCUGUUAUGCAUGUCAAAUGA
rnacentral:rRNA from 1 species